rnacentral:rRNA from 1 species
AUUGAACGCUGGCGGCAUGCUUUACACAUGCAAGUCGAACGGUAACAGGCCGCAAGGUGCUGACGAGUGGCGAACGGGUGAGUAAUGCAUCGGAACGUGCCCAGUCGUGGGGGAUAACGCAGCGAAAGCUGUGCUAAUAACGCAUACGAUCUAUGGAUGAAAGCGGGGGAACGCAAUGCCUCGCGCGAUUGGAGCGGCCGAUGUCAGAUCAGGUAGUUGGUGGGGUAAAGGCUCACCAAGCCAACGAUUUGUAGCUGGUCGGAGAUGGACGACCAGCCACACUGGGACUGAGACACGGCCCAGACUCCUACGGGAGGCAGCAGUGGGGAAUUUUGGACAAUGGGCGCAAGCCUGAUCCAGCAAUGCCGCGUGCAGGAAGAAGGCCUUCGGGUUGUAAACUGCUUUUGUACGGAACGAAAAGGUUUGGGUUAAUACCCUGGGCCGAUGACGGUACCGUAAGAAUAAGCACCGGCUAACUACGUGCCAGCCGCCGCCGUAA